rnacentral:rRNA from 1 species
GCAUAUCAAUAAGCGGAGGAAAAGAAACUAACAAGGAUUCCCCUAGUAACUGCGAGUGAAGCGGGAAAAGCUCAAAUUUAAAAUCUGGCGGUCUUCGGCCGUCCGAGUUGUAAUCUGGAGAAGCGUCUUCCGCGCUGGACCGUGUACAAGUCUCUUGGAACAGAGCGUCAUAGAGGGUGAGAAUCCCGUCUUUGACACGGACUACCAGUGCUUUGUGAUGCGCUCUCGAUGAGUCGAGUUGUUUGGGAAUGCAGCUCAAAAUGGGUGGUAAAUUCCAUCUAAAGCUAAAUAUUGGCGAGAGACCGAUAGCGAACAAGUACCGUGAGGGAAAGAUGAAAAGCACUUUGGAAAGAGAGUUAAACAGUACGUGAAAUUGCUGAAAGGGAAACGCUUGAAGUCAGUCGCGUUUGCUAGAACUCAGCCUUGCUUCUGUGAGGUGCAUUUUCUAGUGAACGGGCCAGCAUCAGUUUUGGCUGCCGGACAAAGGCCUCGGGAAUGUGGCACCUUCGGGUGUGUUAUAGCCCUUGGUCGUAUACGGUGGCUGGGACUGAGGAUCUCAGCACGCCUUCAUGGCGGGGGUUCGCCCACCUUCGUGCUUAGGAUGCUGGCGUAAUGGCUUUAAACGACCCGUCUUGAAACACGGACCAAGGAGUCUAACAUGCCUGCGAGUGUUUGGGUGGAAAACCCGAGCGCGUAAUGAAAGUGAAAGUUGGGACUUCUGUCGUGGAAGGCACCGACCCCCGGACCAGACCUUCUGUGACGGAUCCGCGGUAGAGCAUGUAUGUUGGGACCCGAAAGAUGGUGAACUAUGCCUGAUUAGGUGGAAGCCAGAGGAAACUCUGGGGGAGGCUCGUAGCGAUUCUGACGUCCAAAUUGAUCGUCAAAUUUGGGUAUAGGGGCGAAAGACUAAUCGAACCAUCUAGUAGCU